AUUGGACGCUGGCGGCAUGCUUUACACAUGCAAGUCGAACGGCAGCGCGGGCUUCGGCCUGGCGGCGAGUGGCGAACGGGUGAGUAAUGCAUCGGAACGUGCCCAGUAGUGGGGGAUAGCCCGGCGAAAGCCGGAUUAAUACCGCAUACGACCUGAGGGUGAAAGCGGGGGACCGAAAGGCCUCGCGCUAUUGGAGCGGCCGAUGUCGGAUUAGCUAGUUGGUGGGGUAAAGGCUUACCAAGGCGACGAUCCGUAGCUGGUCUGAGAGGACGACCAGCCACACUGGACUGAGACACGGCCCAGACUCCUACGGGAGGCAGCAGUGGGGAAUUUUGGACAAUGGGGGCAACCCUGAUCCAGCCAUGCCGCGUGCGGGAAGAAGGCCUUCGGGUUGUAAACCGCUUUUGUUCGGGAAGAAAUCCUCUGGGCUAAUACCCCGGGGGGAUGACGGUACCGGAAGAAUAAGCACCGGCUAACUACGUG
rnacentral:rRNA from 1 species